CGCAAUGCCCGAAAGGGUGACAAUGCGACGCCGCGUGAGCGAUGAAGGCCUUAGGGUUGUAAAGCUCUGUCAGCAGGGAUGAAUACAUACGGGUCAAUACCCCGUAUGUUUGACGGUACCUGCAGAGGAAGCCUCGGCUAACUCCGUGCCAGCAGCCGCGGUAAUACGGAGGAGGCAAGCGUUGUUCGGAUUCACUGGGUGUAAAGGUCAUGUAGGCGUUCUUUUAAGUCGGGUGUGAAAUCCCAUGGCUCAACCAUGGAACUGCAUUCGAUACUGGAAGAAUUGAGUACUUGAGAGGUAAGCGGAAUUCCGGAAGUAUGGGUGAAAUCAGUAGAUAUCCGGAAGAACACCAUUAGCGAAGGCGGCUUACUGGCAAGAUACUGACGCUGAAAUGAGAAAGCUAGGGGAGCGAACAGGAUUAGAUACCCUGGUAGUCCUAGCUGUAAACGAUGGGCACUAAGUAGAGGGG
rnacentral:rRNA from 1 species